rnacentral:rRNA from 1 species
UACAGAGGGGGCAAGCGUUGUUCGGAAUUACUGGGCGUAAAGGGCGCGUAGGCGGCCCGCUAAGUCGAACGUGAAAUCCCCGAGCUCAACUCGGGAACUGCGUCCGAUACUGGCGGGCUUGAAUCCGGGAGAGGGAUGCGGAAUUCCAGGUGUAGCGGUGAAAUGCGUAGAUAUCUGGAGGAACACCGGUGGCGAAGGCGGCAUCCUGGACCGAGAUUGACGCUGAUGAGCGAAAGCUAGGGGAGCAAACGGG